AGUGAACGCUGGCGGUAGGCCUAACACAUGCAAGUCGAACGGCAGCACAGUAAGAGCUUGCUCUUACGGGUGGCGAGAGGCGGACGGGUGAGGAAUACAUCGGAAUCUACUUUUUCGUGGGGGAUAACGUAGGGAAACUUACGCUAAUACCGCAUACGACCUACGGGUGAAAGCAGGGGAUCUUCGGACCUUGCGCGAUUGAAUGAGCCGAUGUCGGAUUAGCUAGUGGGCGGGGUAAAGGCCCACCAAGGCGAGGAUCCGUAGCUGGUCUGAGAGGAUGAUCGGCCACACUGGAGCUGGGACACGGUCCAGACUCCUACGGGAGGCAGCAGUGGGGAAUAUUGGACAAUGGGCGCAAGCCUGAUCCAGCCAUACCGCGUGGGUUGAGAAGGCGUUCGGGUUGUAAAGCCCUUUUUUUGGGAAAGAAAAGCAGCAGGUUAAUACCCCGCUGUUCUGACGGUACCCAAAGAAUAAGCACCGGCUAACUUCGUG
rnacentral:rRNA from 1 species